UUCUCAUUAGCUAAAGAGAAGAGCGGUAUACUUCGAAUAUACAGAUUUUAGUUCGAGUCUAAAAUGAGAAA
rnacentral:tRNA from 1 species